rnacentral:rRNA from 1 species
AGACAAGUCUUGAUGGCAGCAACUGCCGCGUGAGUGAUGAAGGCCUUCGGAUCUGUAAAACUACUUUUGUCGGGGAGGAAGGGAGUAAAGUUAAUACGUUUGCUCCUUGACGGUACCCGAAUAAAAAGCCCCGGCUAACUCCGUGCCAGCAGCCGCGGUAAUAA